rnacentral:rRNA from 1 species
UACAGAGGUCUCAAGCGUUGUUUCGGAUUCAUUGGGCGUAAAGGGUGCGUAGGCGGCGCGGUAAGUCGGGUGUGAAAUCUUGGAGCUUAACUCCGAAACUGCAUUCGAUACUGCCGUGCUUGAGGACUGGAGAGGAGACUGGAAUUUACGGUGUAGCGGUGAAAUGCGUAGAUAUCGUAAGGAAGACCAGUGGCGAAGGCGGGUCUCUGGACAGUUCCUGACGCUGAGGCACGGAAGGUCAGGGGAGCAAACGGG